ensembl:piRNA 21ur-2905 ncRNA
UUCAAUCAGAUUGAUUUGUCC